UUUGUAGCGCGAAUUCGAGGUUGAGCUCGUCUAAAAUGUAACAAGUGAAACUUGAAUACAGUAAAAUUCAGCUCGACUAGAUUCGUAAACAGCCUUACUUCCGGCUAGAGCUUAAAUUAAUAUUAUCAACAAUAACUCACCAUAAAACUCAGCAAUAACUUACCAUAAAAAUCAACAAUAAUAAACACAGAAACUCGACAUACUACCUCUUCAGAAAAGCAAGUAAAAUCAAUCAGAAGAUUUAACACCCGCCGCCACCACCUCCACAUCCGCCUCCGCCGCCGCCACCGCAUCCUCCACCUCCAUGCCCCCCAUGCCCGCCGCCGCCGCAUGCUCCGCCGCCACUCGAGUAAAAAACGGUGCCGCCGUGACUAGCUGGAUGAUGAUUCCUCCGUUUCCGUCGGUUGAUGACGGCGGUGCUCUUCGCCAGUUUGGAACUAAAGCAUCCCAUCUCACGCAGCCUCUCAGUCCCUUAAUUCGUUUCUGCUGAUCAAUCCUCUGUUUUCUGUAGUGUGAAUGAUCUGAUCUUGUAGUAUCAACAACGUAACUACACGGUAUAUAUAGAACAAAAGCAGAAUCAAUAGGAAUUGAAUGCAAUGCAGAGAGGAUUAGCGUGCAUGUGCUCUGUCUCGCCAAAUAUGGAUAUGUCUGUUAUGUUCUUUCCUGUAAAAGAACAACAUGAUCAAGUUACUGAUGAAGAAGAUCCUGAAAAGGUAAAGACUUCGGCCAAUCGCGAAUUAUACGGCAACUUGUUGACGGGUGAUUGGGAGGAAGAUUGCCAGAAAUUGAUUUGGCUGGCGAUUUCACCAAAUUGAAACUAGGAAGUCUUGCCAUAUAAACAUUUAAAAGGAAUCUUGCUUAGGAAACUGCGUGUUCAGAUUGUUUUUCUUUUCAUGCCUUUGAAAGAAAUAUUUAUCAUUAAUUAUGGAUCCGAAACAACCAUUUGUAAUAGAAACGAUGGAUGGAAUCAUGGACAAAUUUCAGGGUUUUGUUUCAGAUAAAUAUAUAUGUUUUCCGGAAUAUAAGGUUAUGUUAAAUUUGAACAAAUUACGUAUAUAAAGUUCAAUUGUUACUCGGAUAUUGUCUUUGCGAGGUCCUAUCGCUUAGUAGCUGCGGAAAACGUAUCCCGGGGGCUGUUCGGAGAAAAAUAAAGGCUCUCGAAUUGAAAUCAGUGUCUAUGCAAGUUCCGAUACUAAAAUGAAUUGAAAUCAAGGCGUGACUCCUAUUUUUUCAUUAUGUACAUGAAAAUCAACUAAAGAUGAAAGAAUAACAGGUAAAGAUAGAAAGCAAGAGACAGAUGGAGUUAAUUAAACUACUUACGGAAUUAAUACAUAAGAAACUAGCUAGCUAGCUAGCUAGCUAAACAUUCCACAUCUAAACCCCAGCAGCAUAGCCACCAUCACAAGCACAGCUCGCGGUCUCGCUGUUAUCGAUAUCGGAGCGGUGGCGAAGAUUGGAGGUGAGGCAGCAACACAUCAGACCCAUCAGCAACAUCAAUCCCCAUACUGUCGCUAUGCCUUGAACCCAGUUCAUGAUUUCCACAUGGCGCUCCAUCAAUCAAUCAAUUUUUGAUGUUACGUAACGAAUGGAUCUUCUUCCGAUGAAUUAUAGUCGGCCAUGGGCAGAGAAGGGAGAGAUGAAAGUAGAAAGGGGGAUGGAUUAUGAUAUCUAACUAAGGGACCUCACCCUAGUUAUAAAGUGGGGGAGGAGCAUGUUCCAUCCAGCUAAUUCACCUGAUUUUCGUUGCUGGGAGAGUUUGAGUGACACCAAAUGCC
rnacentral:lncRNA from 1 species